UGGACUUGUGUCUGCAGCCACCAUACUGCUGU
rnacentral:piRNA from 1 species